CACUUUGAGGAAAGUCCGAGCCUCGAAAAGCAAGAUCGCUUGGUAAGG
rnacentral:ribozyme from 1 species